CCUACGGGGGGCAGCAGUGAGGAAUAUUGGUCAAUGGUCGGGAGACUGAACCAGCCAAGCCGCGUGAGGGAUGAAGGUACAGAGUAUCGUAAACCUCUUUUGUCAGGGAACAAAGGCGGGGACGUGUCCCCGGAUGAGUGUACCUGAAGAAAAAGCAUUGGCUAACUCCGUGCCAGCAGCCGCGGUAAUACGGAGGAUGCGAGCGUUAUCCGGAUUUAUUGGGCGUAAAGGGUGCGCAGGCGGUCCUGCAAGUCUGGAGUGAAACGCAUGAGCUCAACUCAUGCAUGGCUUUGGAAACUGGAGGACUGGAGAGCAGGAGAGGGCGGUGGAACUCCAUGUGUAGCGGUAAAAUGCGUAGAUAUAUGGAAGAACACCAGUGGCGAAGGCGGCCGCCUGGCCUGUUGCUGACGCUGAGGCACGAAAGCGUGGGGAGCAAAUAGGAUUAGAUACCCUUGUAGUC
rnacentral:rRNA from 1 species